rnacentral:rRNA from 1 species
UACGUAGGGUGCGAGCGUUGUCCGGAAUUAUUGGGCGUAAAGAGCUCGUAGGCGGUCUGUCGCGUCUGCUGUGAAAACCCGAGGCUCAACCUCGGGCCUGCAGUGGGUACGGGCAGACUAGAGUGCGGUAGGGGAGAAUGGAAUUCCUGGUGUAGCGGUGGAAUGCGCAGAUAUCAGGAGGGACACCGAUGGCGAAGGCAGUUCUCUGGGCCGUAACUGACGCUGAGGAGCGAAAGCGUGGGGAGCGAACAGG